GUGCUUGCUUUGGCAGCACAUAUACUAAAAUUAGAACAAUACAGAGAAGAUUAUCAUCUCCCCUACGCAAGGAUGACACGAAAAUUUGUGAAGCUAAAAUUACUGAU